rnacentral:rRNA from 1 species
UUUUGUACCUUUUGUAUCAGGGUUGAUUAAAAUUUAUUUAAUGAUUUUAAAUAUCUCGAAAAUAAGGGAGCUAAAUUUAUAUUAUUUUUUUUGUAGCAAUAAAAUUAUAAAUAUAGAUUUAGAAAUUAAAUGUUAAACGAACUUAUUAAUAUCUAGUUUUUUUAGAAAUAAAUUUAAUUUAGAUAUAAUUAUUUUAGUAAAUUAAAUUUUAUUUUAAUUUAUUAAUUUUUAUAUUAAAAAUUUAUGGGAUAAUCUAUAAAUUUAAGAUAAAAAUUUAAUUUUAAUUUUUAAUGUUAUAGAGAUAAUAUUUUUCUUUAAUUUUAAUAAUUUAAUAAUUUAAUAUUUAUAAAUUAAUAAUGAUUUAAAUUUAUAUUUUAUUUUUCUAUAAAAAUUUAUAUUUUAAUUAAUAAAAUAUAGAAAUAAUGAUUAGAUUAGUAAUAAAGUUAUAUUUUAUAAUGAUAUUUUGUAUUAUAUAAUUUAAAGGAAUUCGGCAAAUAUAUUAUUCACCUGUUUAUCAAAAACAUGUCCUGUUGAUUAUAAUUUUAGGUCGAUCUGCUCAAUGAAUUAUUUUAAAUAGCUGCAGUAUGUUGACUGUACAAAGGUAGCAUAAUAAAUUGUCUUUUAAUUGAAGAAUUGUAUGAAAGAAUUAAUGAAAUAAUAACUGUCUCUAAAUUAUUAAAUGAAUUUAAAUUUUUAGUUAAAAUUCUAAAAUUUAAUUAUGGGACGAUAAGACCCUAUAGAAUUUAAUUUAAUUUUUAAAUUUAUUUAUAAUUUUAAUAAAUAUAUUUAAGAUUAAAUUUGAUUGGGAGGAUUGGUAAAUUUAAUAAACUUUAUUUAAGAUUUAAUUUUGAUAUAAAGAUAAUUUUUUGAAUUAUAAAUUGUAAGUAAAAGAAUAAAUUACCUUAGGGAUACCAGCGUGAUAUCUGUUGAUAGAUCAUAUUGAUAAA